UGUGGCCCUUUGCGUGGCUGCUCCCCAGGGAUAUCCUCGAGGGGCACCCUUGCAGGUCCUCAGACCUGCCUUCUCCACGGCCACUCGCCAGCCUCGGCGUGAACAUCCCUCCCAGGGCCCAGCCUGCCUCCUGCUUGCAGCCUGUGGGAACCUCCAGCCUCACCGUCCCAGCUGCCUCCACUGGCUCCAUCGCAGUGGCCUCCGUCCCUGCCGGUCUCCUUGUGCCUUUCCUGUUCCUCUCCUUGUCUAAUCAUUUUCAAAGAGUGCCGUGUCGCGGACCUGUCCUGAGGGACUUUCACUGUCAACUGACUUUGCCUUUUAGCCCCUACGUUUCCCCACAGGACAAGGAUGCGACGCAGCCCCGCGCUGCUCGCAGCCCUGGGUGUGCAUCUGGGCCUCGCCCAGUGAAUAGUAAACACCUUGUUGCCUGACCCACAGCCUGGAGCAGGGCGGGGGUCUUGCACAGACGUCUGUGAGCAUCAGCAGAUGUGGAUCAGCAAGCGCCAGUGAGCCCCCUGGGAGUGCACACCAGGGGGCCAGCUCUAGGGCCAGUGUCGGUCACACCGGGGCAGGAAAACCUGUGGCAUGUCCUGCCCCCGCCGAGCAGGGGCUCCAAGGCAGCUUUGGAGAGGCCAUCCCUCUCCUAGAGAACUGGGUACCAGAGAGGGACACCACUGGGCCGUUUUGCACAGCCUGAGAGAGGAGGAGCUGGGACCUGCACCGUGGUCACCUGGCUUCACAUUCCACGCUCAGGACCCAUGUGACAGAGAAGCGGUCCCUUGUGCAGGCCUCUCUCCCGCUAGCCAAGCUGCUGGGCUGGGUGUGCCCUUCUGUUAAGGCGCAGCCUGGGCAAACGCAGCACGCGCUACGAUUGUCCACACUGAGCCAUUUCUGCAGUCUGUUCGCUCCUGCCCUCGGGGGUGGAAAUCACACUUACAAUCUCCAGAAGGGGAGUGGUUUGAUUCUUACAAAACGUCACCUCCCACUGAACUGAAACGAAGCCAGGAACCAGGCCUGGAAAGCCCCUGAAAAGCCAGAGGCGAUGCGCAAAGGCUUCCGUUGACUCAGAACUGCUGACUGAGCGUGUGCAGGUCGGCAUCGUCUGGGAGCUCAGGAUGUGCAGGGAACAAGAUUCCCGUCCUCAGGGAGUGGGGUGAGCCAGCCAGGGAGUCGUUCUGAGCCUGUGGGACUUCCUGUACCACAGUUAGAGCAAGCUUGGUUGCCCAUGGGUGCCCUUCUGGCCUGAGGCAAGUCAGAACUAGAGGCAGGGCAGGUGGAGCCGCCCCCAAGCCUGCCUGCGGAAGAAGCCGGCUGGCCUGAGUUCUGUCAAGUCCACCCCACACCCACCUGCCAGCAACGGGAGCACCAUGGCCCUUGCCCUGCUGGCCUGUGGACUCAAAGCCACCCUGCAGGACCCAGGCAGUUAAUUUCCUGCUGUCUUUGCUGUUCCCGCAGUGGCUGUGACCGAGGUCACAGCAAUAGUUCCAUUGUAAUCUCUUGCUGCGUUUUUUGGCUCUGUUUCACUGUGCUUUCUGAGAGUAGGGAUUGUGUCUUAUUAGGCAAAGUCCCUGGAUCACAGAUUGUCACUAAGCAUUUGUCAAAAGGACUCGCUGACAGCAAGACCACAGGGCUGGCAGGCCAGGGCUGUCGGUGCUCCGGCGGUCACCCCCGGCUCCAGCAGUGAGUGGCCCCUGAGCCGUGUUCCGAUGAUGGACUGGAGUCUCCAGGGACGGGGAGCUUAUAAACACUGCAGGGGGACAGGAGGCUGCGUGCUCUUCCAUUUUGGUUUCUAGUUUGGGAAACAGGGACUGAAUGGGGAGAGCGGGUGACGUAAGGCCUCUGCGUCCUCCCAACCCUGCUUCCUCUGUGUCCACCCAGCCCUGCUUCCUCUGCGGGGAAAGAGGGCCUCUUCCCUCUUCUCCUUUGCAGGGUGGCACCCCUUCCCCACUGCCCCCUGAGCAGCCAUCCAGGAGCCAGCCCUGUGAUGACCACUGCCCAGCUGUCGCCUUGCUCUGGCGGCAGGACGUGGACUCCUUCCCAUUCUCUUUCCUGCUCGCUGGCGGCGGGAGCUGGAGGGCCUGUGCGACCUGUGUAGAGAGGAGCUGAACGUGAGCAAGACCCUCCAACCUCCGACCCGGGGUUCCUGGGUCUCGAGGGAGCCGUGAAGCUGGUGGGGUCGGAGUGGCCCAGGAGCCAUGUCACAGGUAACCCUGUGGGCCUGGUGAAGGCUCCACACGCCCACCCGAGUCCCGCCCGCCAACCCCGUGUGGUGGCUCCUCGUCAGAUAGACGUGUGGAAGCAACGGGGCUCCUCGCGCCCGUGUGGCAGCCCUGUCUCCUGAGGCUUCCCUCUCUCAGUGUGUGGGAGUCGGGGGGGACGGUCCCUUGGCCCUCAGUGCUGGCCAGAUGCUCGCCCCCUGGGAAUGAAGGGGCAGGGGCUGGGCCCUGGGCCGUGCUGCUCUCUGUCCUCUCCCCCAGCCCUGGAGGGUCCGCUCUGCUUCCUCUCCUGGCUCCUUCCUCCUUCUCUAACUGCCUCUCCAGCUUUGGUGGAUCAGGACCACUCGGGCUCGUUCACACGUGAGUUCCGGUUCCUGCCCCUCUGCGUCUGGCUGGCACCCUGAGAGGUCACUCUCCCAUGGAGCUCCUGGUGGGCCACUCUUGGGAACCACUCUCUCUUCUGGACUUGACCCGUGCUCCAGGGGCAGGGAAGGGGUGUCCAGUGGUUUAUCGCCUGGGCCCCCUGGGGACCAACAAAGCCAGGCCCCAACCUCCUGGCCAGCUUUGCCCAUGCGUGUGCACACGUGAGCACGCGUGUACACACACACACAUGCACACACACACACACACGCACACACAGACACACACGCACACACACGCACACACACGCACACAGACACACACGUACACACACACACACACAGUUCUGCUGUGCCUUUCAGUUGGCAUCUCAUGUUUCCCUGAGUCUGGACGGUGCUGUGGGCGACCUCCCUGCCCCAUGUGGUGCCUGUCUGUUCAGAGAGGAGAAGGAGUGACCGCCCUUCCUCUUGGCCGCCCAGGGCUGUCCUGAUGGGCCGCAAGGACUCUCCAGGGUGGCGGGAAGACAGGCCCAGGUCUGCUGAGCUCAAAGGGUUUCUGGAUCAGCCUCCGCCGCUGCGCCAGUGGAGGCACGGGGCAACAAUGGCAAGCAUGCGUGACUCUGGGCGUCUCAAAAACGUGUCCGUCAGCAGUCUGGUUGAGCAAACCAUUGUCAGAUAAGCACCAACAGUCACGCGGUAAGCCAUGUCCCUCCUCACCGCCCCCGUGAUAAUUUAAAUGACAUCAGCCUGUGGUUCUGGAAGGUUCCCAGUACCCUUGGGGGUGGGUUGUGACUUACUCCUCGUGCCAGGGCUGGGCUGGACCCCCUGGGACUCCAACAAGGACAGGGGCUGCCCAAGGGCCUGGUGCUGCCCAGAUAAACCAGGAGGGCCUGAGAGAAGCGAGGGUGGACCUGGGGGUCAGGGUGGCAGCAGACACUGCAGAGGGCUCCGUGUUACCCAGAGACGCUGGCCAGCACUGGGGAGAGGGGUGUCUACAAGAGAGCCA